UCCCAUCACAUCGAACAGCUUCAUUUGAUGCACACUUAGUCAUGGCGUUCAACAACGCUCAACUACUUGCUGCCUUCACCUUGGCCCUGCUCCUGAUGGCCUCCGGUGAGUUAACAUGGCUCCGAUCAUAGUAUCCAAAUACCAUAUUGUAAAUUAGGAUCGAGAUGAAUACAUUGGCGGUUACUGUAUUUUAAGCGGCACCAUGAUACGGCCACAUGACUUCUGAAUACACUCGUUAUGGUCACUAUAUAUUAUUUGACGUGAAAAUAUGGGCAUUGUUGCACAUACGCGCUGUGUAUGAGGUUGGUUUGACCAUUUGUUGACCGCCAUGUAUGCUAUUCUGAUUAGGCCAAUUUUGCAUGGAGGUGUUAUUUGUAAAAAAAAGUCAAAUAUCCCCACCUCUUCAAAUCCCUAAGCCGUGGCGCAUGCUCUUCAAUCCCUAGCUUUAUCUCUCCCUUGCGUGCGACUGCUCCACCACCACCUUUCUCGUCAGCCGUUGUCGAAUCCACUAGUCACCACCAGAUCCCAUCUCGCUAGCAUUUCCUUCCUCUAUAAUGCUCAUGUCUACCGCAAGCUCCUCCCUCUAUGUUGUCUGCCAUAGGGCAUUGUCGCAGCUCUUGAUCUGUUCCUCAUGCUGCAAGGAGAAGGUGUGCAUCUACGUCUUGACUAAGGACAAGCACGACAAUUGUAUCUUCUAUAAAUGCCAAAAGCAAGGGGCAAUCUUUCGAAUUCCAUGGUUUCUCUUUGAUUUUAGGUGAAAAGUUUAUAGUUUUUUACCUUGGCAUGUAUUUUGGGAUAGGUCACUUGCGAUUUCUGGUGCCGAGAAUUGUAAUAUGUUGAGUAUCUUGUUGAAAAGCAUUAUCUCGUCGGUGAUGCCAUUGUGGAUACUAUAGGUGCUGCGGAGAACCGAAGGGAAGAACUUUUGAAUGCACAUGAGGAUAGCGUUCUAAAUGUAGCUACUAGAAGGUCUAAGCAGCGUAUGAAGAACCAAACUGCAAAUGGCAUGACCAGGCAUCAAGCUUGUGGACUGAUGAGGAUAGGGAGAGAGCUGGUGAUGCUCAUGAAGUUGUUGCUUGCUGCCGUGGUAUUGAUGUGUUGCUGCGUGGUCUCCAUGCUGAAGAAGUGAUGCUAUGUUGGAAGACAUGGUGUCAGUCAGUAGAUUCAUUUUGGGAUGAUGGUGCAUUUCAUGUUGCAAUGUUGUCGGUGAGUAGGUGAAACCAGUCUUAAUUUUUCCCAUGUCAUGUGCUAUAUUUUGGUUUAAUGUGAUGGGCCAGCGUGUAUGUUGAAGUACUAAUGGUCCGUUGAACUUGUUUAUGCUAUCUUUUAUGUAUGAACAAUUUGCAUCAGUUAUAUGAGCAAUAUGGAGUAUCUGUUGUAUCUUUGAUCCAUUUGUAAGAGAAGUGAUUGUGUGAUGCAAAGCACACUUCACCAUGACUAAACAAAGACUUGAUGUGAUUGUGUGAUGCAGAGGCAUGUUGGGGUUGAUGAUGUAAUCAGGUAAAUGAUAUUUAAGCCUUUUAUCUAAGGUUUUUAUCUA
rnacentral:lncRNA from 1 species